UAUACGAACCCAGCAAUGGCACCAUCACCGUCAAAGUAUCCAACUUUGGCGCCACCAUCACAUCGCUCCUCGUCCAUGAUGCCAACGGUGAUUGCUCCGUACCCUAGUUGAUUCCCCCUUCCUCUGGAAUGUCGCCGAUGUAGUACUCGGUUUCGAUACCAUCGAGCCGUAUCAAAAAGGUGCUUCUCCUUACUAUGGAUGCAUUGUUGGGCGGGUAGCAAACAGAAUUAAAGAAGGAAAGUUUACUCUCAACGGCGUUGAACAUUCCUUGUUUAUCUGCAAUGGACCGAACAACCUUCAUGGUGGGAAAUGAAGUCAAUUUCAAUUUGAAUCAUCUGGCUACCUUUUACCUUUACAAAUACUUGAAGAAAGAAAAAAGAGCUGAGUAUGUGUCAUUUGUGGAUCCUAGUCACAUACCUACAUGCAGUGUGGGUGAAGAAGACAGUAAAUUGUCACAACAUUGCUGCUCAGUUGAGAGCAUCGAAUAGAGAUAGCAUCUGCUUCAUCCCAUAUAACGCUGGGUACCAUUGGAUCUUGACUAUAAUUAAUGAAGAUAAGAAUAUGAUAUAUUUAUUGGACUCUUUGAGUAACAGGAACCGAGACUAUGCUUGGCAAACUAUUGUGACCAAUGGGGUCAAGAUAUACAAUGCAUCAAGGGGUAUUUCAAAAGGACUAGGUUUUAAACAAUUGACAAUAUGUAUUAUGACUAUGUAUUGAGACAACAAUUAAUAAUUUUUAUUAUUUGGAUUGUGACUUCUUGUAUGACAUUUUCAAUUUCAUUAGGGUAUUUUUAAAUAAAAUGGUGGUGUUGAAU